rnacentral:rRNA from 1 species
UACAGAGGGGGCAAGCGUUAUUCGGAAUUAUUGGGCGUAAAGGGCGCGUAGGCGGCCUGGCAAGUGGAAGGUGAAAUCCCUCGGCUUAACCGAGGAACUGCCCUCCAAAACUGCUUGGCUUGAGUCCGGGAGAGGUGAGUGGAAUUCCCAGUGUAGCGGUGAAAUGCGUAGAUAUUGGGAGGAACACCAGUGGCGAAAGGCGGCUCACUGGACCGGAACUGACGCUGAGGCGCGAAAGCGUGGGGAGCAAACGGG